AUGUGAAACCUGUCGACACGAAAUAUUCAAUACCAGGAAAUUUCAAAGUUUGAUUCACGAUUCUUGUUACUAGAUCGAGGUUCAUUUGUCGAUAGCUGGAAUUAUAUAUACUUGUAUCAAAUGACAACUAGUGACAUUAUAAACCGCGUGUAUUACCUUCCCCGUUAACUGAAAUUAGGAAAAAUCCGUUCUGAUGAAAUGCUGAAAAAUGUCAAAAUAACCAAAACGCCCAUUAUAUUAGGCUAAAUAUAUUUAGAGUUGAGAGUUUUUUUGUGUUUCAUACUAGAGUAGUUGGUUAGUUGGUUAAAACAAAAAAAAAAAGUUGUGUUUGCGUGAGGAACCAAGUACGACUUUUCUGCGAGAUGGGGAACGCUCAGAUGCCUGUAAUUCGGCAGGGAAACGACAGAUGGACCUAAAACUUAAUUAACAGUCGGAAGAACAAUUUUAUAUUGAGAAGUCCAACAAAUAAUACUUUGCGUAUAAUUUUCAAAAACAGUUUAUAUUCGUAAUUACUAUAUAACUUAAUGUUUUAUUCCAUUUAAGCCAAUUCCACUGGUAAUAAAUUCUCCCACUUUUAUGUCUCUGUAUUGUUGAACGUUAAAAAGAAACAACAAAAAAAAGUGUGCUCGCGAGAUUACGUCAAAUGGAAUGUGGCAGGGCGCUAUUGUUUUCAUUUAAACAACUCAUUUCGGAGAAAAUAAAAUGAUAAUUUUGUUUUUAAGUGUUUAAUUAACACGUCUCAGGUUGGUUUGGUGCAACAAAGUUGCAGACACGUAAAGCAAAUAAUGUUUAAAAUGUAUUGUAGGAUAAACCGCGGGAAAUGCCCCGGGAAUCAUAGUCCUUUUAAGAGGGGCACCGUGCACGCAUCAGUAAGCAUUGCAUUGUGGCCUUUGUUUAUUGUGGCAGCGGAGGCGGAGCCCACCGCCGAGCAAGCAGAAGCUAUUCAGGGUGAGGGGUCUAUUGUGCGGAAGCUUUGGGAAAAGCGAGGAACGCUGUGUCCUCUGUGCUGCAGAUUGCCCUGCUAGUUUUGUGCAAGUGCUGGAGUAGGGCAAGACGAGUUAACUGUAGAGGGACCCAGAUUGAUAACGCCUGAUUUUUUCAUUUUGGCAAUUUAGAGGCAGAUUUGCAAAGUUCUCUUUUUUACCUCUUUACAUUGCAUUUGAGUAUCACACGAGCAACGGGUAGCUGUGCUCAUAAAUGGACGAUAGUGGAAGGGUAAUUAGUUUAAGCAGAGAGGCACUUCUUAGCAGCUGCGCCUUGGCAAUCAUGGGAAGGAUGGAGUCUGGCUGUUUCGGGAUGCUUCCGUGCCUCUUUCUGCUAUAGUCUCCCAGGGCCAGGCAGGUGCGGGACGUAGUGCAUUGUUGUACCAUCUCCUCCCAAUAUUGCACUCGUCCCGGCCUCCCAGACCUUUGGGAAACCCCUUCACCUCUGCAGGGGUGAAGAAGGGCAACUUUUAAUUAAUUUUGUUUUGAGACAUUUCCUGGAACACCUGCCAUGAAACGAAUGGUUCGAAAAACAGAACUAAGGAGUCAUUACGUCAUUGUGUGGGGGGCGGGGCACAGAUGGUUCAGUUUUGUAAACAAGUGAAUUGAAUGAACUUUUGCAGUUUGUUUUAUAAUCCGAUUGUAACGUAGAUUGGCUGAUUUUAAAUUCAGGAUCUGUUUAUCCAUUAAUUAAGCAGCACUUGUUUAUUAAUAUGGUAAAUUAGCAGCUAACAGGAAAACGGUGCACAUAAAAUUAAAAAGAAAUAGUAAAAAAAAACAACAUCAUCAUGUCAUGUGGAAUACAGUGUAGACAAUGUUAAAUUUGGUUUAGUAAAUGUACCGAUGAUAUGCUACUAGGACAUUGUCUUGUUGAAGACAGGUUAUUAUCGUAGGAUGAAUGCAAACUUAGAAAUAGUACAGUAAAUGUUUUUAAAUGCAUUAUUAUUACCAUUUCGCUUAGGAAGCUGAUUCCGUGAUCUGAGAAACACUAAUGCUGUCCAGUUCCAAUGUCCCACAAAGCAACAGGUAUUUCUUUCAUUGUGAUCCUACGCUGUUGUGGACAGGCACCGUCAGGCUAGUCCAGCAAACUCAUCAGUAACUGGGUGAUUCCGCCAACUCCCACCAUCCCCGUCUGACUGCUGGUUGGCAGACUGCCACAGCUGUGGGCCUCUGCCAGCUCCACCAGAGCUCUUCUCUGUGGCCUUCAAAGCCUGGAUGAGGUGGCUGGGCUUUGCGGGUAACUGUGGAAUCAGCCCGGAACACAAAGUGCCUUUUGGGGUCUUAGCCCCAAUGAUCUCCAAUGAGAAAUUCAAAAAUGGCAUAAAUUGCAUGAAUGGCAUUUUUCUGCUGUUACAGGAAGCAGAUCAUCUGAACAUACAUCUGAACUGAACAUUCUUUUCCCUGUAGAUUUCAUCCUAUAAACAACCUGGGGCAGAAUUUCCUAAUCCUGUCUGGAGCAACUACUAAAAAUGCUGCUUUUUUCUUUCCAAAACCACUCCUUUAUCUUUAAAAAAAGCGUAAAUAACCUGGAUGUCGCUUUUGAUUGACUGUGGGAUUGUGACAUAUGUGUGUUUCUGCCAGCUAAGUAUAAUAUUUGGCAAAUUUUUGGCCCUCAAAUUAAAAUAAUAAUAAUAAUAUGCAGUGUAAAUGGGGCAGCAUAGUGAUGCAGUGGUUAACAUGCUGAGAGUAGUUGGAGUUACCAAAGUGUAUGAUGUGUGUGUGCCCUGUAAUGGGUUAUCGCCCCAUCCUGGGUUGUUCCCUGCCUUGUGCCCUGUAUUGGGUUAUCGCCCCAUCCUGGGUUGUUCCCUGCCUUGUGCCCUGUAAUGGGUUAUCGCCCCAUCCUGGGUUGUUCCCUGCUUUGUGCCCUGUAAUGGGUUAUCGCCCCAUCCUGGGUUGUUCCCUGCUUUGUGCCCUGUAAUGGGUUAUCGCCCCAUCCUGGGUUGUUCCCUGCUUUGUACCCUGUAAUGGGUUAUCACCCCAUUCUGGGUUGUUCACUGCUUUGUGCCCUGUAAUGGGUUAUCGCCCCAUCCUGGGUUGUUCCCUGCCUUGUGCCCUGUAAUGGGUUAUCGCCCCAUCCUGGGUUGUUCCCUGUCUUGUGCCCUGUAAUGGGUUAUCGCCCCAUCCUGGGUUGUUCCCUGCCUUGUGCCCUGUAAUGGGUUAUCGCCCCAUCCUGGGUUGUUCCCUGCCUUGUGCCUGUAGGCCCCUGUGAUCCCAAACAGGACAAGCAGUUACAGAAAAUGGAUGGAUGGACACAGCCUAAAUAUGAUCAGCUGCACUCUGACAUUGUUUGAGCAAAUAUAAUUAAUCACUUAUUUUUUAAAAAAAGAAAGAAUGUGGUAUUCAAAAGGAAGAACAAAUAAAAGGGGUAAUAUCAGCAUACAAGGUGGAUCCUGAGGUUCAGGGUGAAAGAAACCAUUCAAAUGACAACUGUGGGACUGUGUUUUGCAGGCAUGCUGACCAGAGAUGAUUUUUUUUUUCUACAGCUAUUUGUGCAUGUAAAGUAUCACUCGUCGCUGCAUUCGCUAAAGGGCGGCUAGAAUGUAAGAAGCUCGAUACCAAACUUGCAGUUAGUUAUUGUAUUUAUCUGCCUGGAUGUUGGUGAAUUACAAGAGAACAAUAUAGAACAUAAUCCAUGCUAUGAACUUUUUUGUCAACAACAUUCGAUUUAUGCAAUGAGUACAGCGAUUGAACAUAAAAACUCCAGUUCUGAAACAG